ACUGGUAACUCUUAUAAAUGUUCGGCAAGUGUCGUUUUAGAUUAAAUUUCGAUCAUUUUCACUCUGUUUAUCUACCGUGAACUAAGUCAUUUUUGCCUUCCAUAUUUAGAACAAAAGGGUAAAUUUUGCAUCAUGUUAUUUGAUCUUUAGAUAUGAGUUUGUGCAGAGAACUAGGUGAAUUUCUAAUGCUGAUGUGGUUUGUUAAAAUGGUUAAAUUACCGUUUUAGUUCGUAAGGAUGUGACAAAGAUCGGUGAUGAGCUAGUGUCUUUCAAAAAGUGUCAUACAAGGAAAUGGUUAACAUCUAGUAGCGACUUUGGGAUAGUGUCUUUUAAAACAUGCCAUAUAAGGAAAUGGUUAACAUCUAGUAGCGACGAUGGGAUAGUGUCUUUCAAAACAUGCCAUAUAAGGAAAUGGUUAACAUCUAGUAGCGACGAUGGGAUAGUGUCUUUCAAAACAUGCCAUAUAAGGAAAUGGUUAACAUCUAGUAGCGACGAUGGGAUAGUGUCUUUCAAAACAUGCCAUAUAAGGAAAUGGUUAACAUCUAGUAGCGACGAUGGGAUAGUGUCUUUCAAAACAUGCCAUAUAAGGAAAUGAUUUACAUCUAGUAGCGACGAUGAGAUAGUGUCUUUCAAAACAUCCCGUAUAAGGAAAUGAUUAACAUCUAAUAGCGACGAUGGACUAGUGUCUUUCGAAAUGUGCCAUAUAAGGAAAUGAUUAACAUCUAUAGCGACGAUGGGAUAGUGUCUUUCAAAACAUGUCAUACAAGGAAAUUGUUGACAUCUAGUAGCGACAAUGGGAUAGUGUCUUUCGAAACGUGCCAUAUAAGGAAAUGGUUAACAUCUAGUAGCGACGAUGGACUAGUGUCUUUCAAAACAUGCCAUAUAAGGAAAUGGUUUACAUCUAGUAGC